CCAGCGUACUCUCCGGAGGUGACGGGUACGACUGUGGGGACCGCCGCUGCUAAAGCGGAGGAAGGGAAAUGGGCAACGGUAGGUCAGUAUGCCCCGAAUAUCCCGGGCUACACGCGAGCUACAAUGGUUGGUACAAUGGGUAUCUACCCCGAAAGGGGACGGGAAUCUCCUAAAACCAAUCUUAGUUCGGAUUGAGGGCUGCAACUCGCCCUCAUGAAGCUGGAAUCCGUAGUAAUCGCGUUUCAACAGAACGCGGUGAAUACGUCCCUGCUCCUU
rnacentral:rRNA from 1 species